rnacentral:rRNA from 1 species
GACGAACGCUGGCGGCGUGCUUAACACAUGCAAGUCGAACGGAAAGGCCCUGCUUUUGUGGGGUGCUCGAGUGGCGAACGGGUGAGUAACACGUGAGUAACCUGCCCUUGACUUUGGGAUAACUUCAGGAAACUGGGGCUAAUACCGGAUAGGAGCUCCUGCUGCAUGGUGGGGGUUGGAAAGUUUCGGCGGUUGGGGAUGGACUCGCGGCUUAUCAGCUUGUUGGUGGGGUAGUGGCUUACCAAGGCUUUGACGGGUAGCCGGCCUGGGAGGGUGACCGGCCACAUUGGGACUGAGAUACGGCCCAGACGCCUACGGGAGGCAGCAGUGGGGAGUAUUGCACAAUGGGCGGGAGCCUGAUGCAGCAACGCCGCGUGCGGGAUGACGGCCUUCGGGUUGUAAACCGCUUUCGCCUGUGACGAAGCGUGAGUGACGGUAAUGGGUAAAGAAGCACCGGCUAACUACGUG